UGUGGUUCCUGAACUGAUAAAAAUGAGCUGCAUUUGCUUACUUUAUUGGAAUACAGUCCUCCCAUAACAAGACUAAGUGAAAGAGAACAUGUUUUCCAGGGGAAGAAAGCAUGGACUACGGGGGAGCUAAACAACAUUUACCAGCCUACCACAGAGUUAUGGGGGAGAAGGUUAUAUGACCAAGAUUUAGACAACAAAAAGUGAUCAGA
rnacentral:lncRNA from 10 species